AGUCCCAACCAUUUGUGAGCCAUCAUCUCAGUCCCAACUUGUGCAAAAAAGACAAAAACUGAAUGCAAGUGUGGAAAACUCUCAUCCUUUAAUAUUCAACAAUGUUUAAUAAAUUUAAUGAAUGACUUUUGUUUUUUAAUUUAUGUCACAUGCAUAUAGAAAGAUUGCUUCUGUUGUCAGCAGAUCAUCAGUUGGUGGCUUCCAACCACCUAGGCAAAGUUCAGAUGAAGUAAGUCAUGUUAAUAUUUGUGAAUUUGUGUUUGGAAAAUUUCUUAGCAAUUGGGUCAUUUGUACCACUAAGGACAGUGGGAGCUACAUCAGUAAAAAACUUUAUUUUUCAUAGAAUUUAUGUAUCAGUUGUUGUGGUCCUUUAUUAAGUUAAGUGUUAUGAUGUUGUAGGUGCAUAGCAACUUGGCAUGGUGUCAAUAUCAGAGCCCCAUCAAAAUUGCAUACAUCUCCUAGUUCACCAAAUCCAAGAAGGUGGCUGGCAAUUUGACCUCCUCAGACCAUAACUUCAUUCAAAGGUGUACUCCAUUGAUUGUGAAAGGUGGCAAGAAGUUUAUUAGUCUUAGCAACUUAGACAAAGCAAUGAAAGCUGCUAAGAAAAUCAAUGUGGAUGCUGCAACUGGAAAACAAAAGGAGAAGAAAAAUUAAACAGGUUAAACACAGAGUGAAGGAGAAAUGAAAAUAGAAGCAAUAUUUUUAAUUUAUGUUAAAACCUAUUGAGCUUUAGGGUGCUUUGAUAUUGUUUUAUGUCACCAAACUUUAUGAUUUUUGUGAAUAUCUUAUGUCUAAACACAAAGUUUAUGUUGUCUUGUGUGUAGUGGAUGAAUAUAUAGUCAAGUCCAUGGAUGCUUUUGAAACUGGUAUUAAUCUAUCUAAUUAUGAUUUAAUAUUGUUAUCAUGUUUUUAAUUGUUAUGAUAUAUGAGAUUGUAUUAGGUUUUUAAUUGUUCUAAUGUGAU
rnacentral:lncRNA from 1 species